UUGGAGGGCAAGUCUGGUGCCAGCAGCCGCGGUAAUUCCAGCUCCAAUAGCGUAUAUUAAAGUUGUUGCAGUUAAAAAGCUCGUAGUUGAAUUUCGGGAUUCAUCCGUUGGUCGGGCUUCACGGUCCGCACUGGUGUGAUGGGUUCCUACCUUCUGAAUAACCGGCAUGCCAUUAAUUUGGUGCGCCGGGGAAGCAGAACUAUUACCUUGAAAAAAUUAGAGUGCUUAAAGCAGGCAAGUGCCUGAAUAGGUUAGCAUGGAAUAAUAAAAUAGGACGGCAUGGUUCUAUUUUGUUGGUUUCUAGGAUCACCGUAAUGAUUAAUAGGGAUAGUUGGGGGCAUUAGUAUUCAAUUGUCAGAGGUGAAAUUCUUGGAUUUAUUGAAGACUAACUUCUGCGAAAGCAUUUGCCAAGGAUGUUUUCAUUAACCAAGAACGAAAGUUAGGGGAUCGAAGACGAUCAGUUACCGUCGUAGUCUUAACCAUAAACUAUGCCGACUAGGGAUCGGACGAUGUUAAUUUUUUAAUGACUCGUUCGGCGCCUUACGGGAAAC
rnacentral:rRNA from 1 species